AUCACUUCUCAGCCUUUUGGCUAAGAUCAAGUGUAGUAUCUCUACAAGUGUAGUAUCUCUCCAUUUCUAGAGUUCUGCAUGGGUUCCUUAAGUAUGUGAUCUCUGUACACCAGAUCACCUUCAGGGACUGGUGUAUCAAAU
rnacentral:snRNA from 1 species